AGGAGGGAAUUACUCCCAACCACUAGCCAGAGAGGAGGCAGACACUAUGAAUUGUACCAGCAGAGCAGGGAAUUACUCCCAACCACUAGCCAGAGAGGAGGCAGACACUAUGAAUUCUACCAGCAGAGCAGGGAAUUACUCCCAACCACUAGCCAGAGAGGAGGCAGACACUAUGAAUUGGCGCCAAAAACAAAUCCGCAGUAACCAAAGGAGGACAUCAACACCUGUGAAACGGACAUCAGUAACCC